GUAACAUAGGUAAGUAUACCGGAAGGUGAGACGAAAA
rnacentral:rRNA from 1 species